AUACCGCAUAAGAGUAGAUGUUGCAUGACAUUUGCUUAAAAGGUGCAAUUGCAUCACUACCAGAUGGACCUGCGUUGUAUUAGCUAGUUGGUGGGGUAACGGCUCACCAAGGCGACGAUACAUAGCCGACCUGAGAGGGUGAUCGGCCACACUGGGACUGAGACACGGCCCAGACUCCUACGGGAGGCAGCAGUAGGGAAUCUUCGGCAAUGGACGGAAGUCUGACCGAGCAACGCCGCGUGAGUGAAGAAGGUUUUCGGAUCGUAAAGCUCUGUUGUAAGAGAAGAACGAGUGUGAGAGUGGAAAGUUCGCACUGUGACGGUAUCUUACCAGAAAGGGACGGCUAACUACGUGCCAGCAGCCGCGGUAAUACGUAGGUCCCGAGCGUUGUCCGGAUUUAUUGGGCGUAAAGCGAGCGCAGGCGGUUAGAUAAGUCUGAAGUUAAAGGCUGUGGCUUAACCAUAGUACGCUUUGGAAACUGUUUAACUUGAGUGCAAGAGGGGAGAGUGGAAUUCCAUGUGUAGCGGUGAAAUGCGUAGAUAUAUGGAGGAACACCGGUGGCGAAAGCGGCUCUCUGGCUU
rnacentral:rRNA from 1 species